UGUCUGUUUCAUAAUAUAUAUAAUUUAUUAGUGGAAAAGAAGAGAUGUAUAUAUAUAUAAUUUAUGAGUAAAUAAAUACACAUACCAUGGGGCAGCCCCCCCCCCCAAGUUUUUAAUGGUAGGAAUGUAUCAUCACAACGUUUGGAGACCACUGAUUUUGACUGUAAAUUGGAAUUUAGCAGACAGAUUUAAAUAAGCCUCUGCCAUUCACUGGCUACACUUGAUCAAAAUAAUUUGUUAUAGGCUUUAUUUUCUCAACUGUAAAUUGAAAUAAGACCCAUCAGGCACUUAAUACAGAGCCUAACAUAGAGUAAAUGUUCCAUAAUUAUCAGUAAAUGUUCAGUAAACAUGAGUCAAUAUUAUUGUACCUAAAUAUCUCCAAGUUCUCCAGCCUUCCCUUAUCUUGAUAAAAUAACUCAAUUCUUCCCAUCUCACCUAUUUAUGGGAAGGCCAGUGUAUGCUCUUGAAAUUUCUCCAGAAGGGGCUUUCGUUUUUUGGGGAGUGACAACCAGUAGUGGUUGCCCGACGUCUCUCUCCCGGCUCAGUUUUCUAUCACCUAGCACACCUCCUGGUGUAGACGUAAGCUCCUUUGAGCAUUCCUUAAGACUCAGGGCUGUUUUAAGACUUAAGACUUGUGGAGAAUACAAGGUAAAUAUAGUUCAGAGCAGGAAACAACUGCAAAUGUAGGUAUCACACUAUACCCUUCCUAAGUUCAUGGACUGCUGCCCACUGCUGGGAACGUCCUAUUGAUUCUGUCUAGCCUUAGGCCCGGCCUAUCUCUCUGUUGUUGGCCUAGUUUUGUUUUGUUUUGUUUUGUUUUUCCUUUUUGAGAACUUUCUGCCUCCUUAGCUCUUCCUUAAAUUCAGGGUCCAGCCCCAGCUCCCCAGGCUAUCUGUUAUGCCAAGGCCUUAAACAUAGCUGCACUCUGGGCAUUAAGCUCCUCCAGGAGUACGGGUCAUGCUGAUGAGUGAAUGCUCCCUGGAGUUGUACAACAAGGCAGGCCUGACACAAGAGUGGAAGAGAAUUUAAAAAAAAAUUUAUUUGCAAAAUCAAGAAGCCUGGGACACCUCGGUGGCUCAGCAGUUGGGUGUCUGCCUUUGGCUUAGGGUGUGACCCCAGGGUCCUGGGAUCAAGUUGGACAUCAGGCUCCCCACAUGUAGCCUGCUUCUCCCUCUGCCUGUGUCUCUGCCUCUCUCUCUCUCUCUCUCUCUCUCUCUCUCUGUCUCUCAUGAAUUAAAAAAAAAAAUCAAGAAGUCCAUGGAGAUAAAAAACCAUUCACCGCAGGUCUCUAUCUUUUGCUAAACAAUCAAUAGAAGCAUGUGAGUUUGCUGCUUUUUCUUUCCUAACUCUGAAGUUAUCAGACUGAAAUGUGAGGCAGGAAUCAAGGUCAAAAUUUGUGUACUUCCCUUCUAGGAGUUUUUAUAGUGGAGCUGGGACAAUAAAAUGUAUUAUCCCCACUUUCUUUUUUAGUUCAGGUCCUAGAGGUCUUCAUUUCUUUCCCUUUCCACCACCAUCAGUACAAAGAGCAACAAUACUAUCACCACCACCACCACCACCACCAUCAUGAUCUACAUGACCAUCUUGACCAUGACCAUCACAAUCACCAUUACUACCAUCACCAACACCAUGUUCUUCUGCAUCACCAGUAUCACAGUCAUGAAAGACCACCAUCGUCACCCCAGUGAUCAUGAUCACCUCCCCUGUAGCCAUCACUAUUUCCUUAUUGGCUUUCCUGAGGCCCUAUGGUAACUCCGUGAAAAGUUGCCACAGCUUUCUUUUUUUUCCCCUUUUCCUAUUUUUUGAGAAGCCUAUAGGCAUGCCUGCCAACUAUCUCUUCCCAAUUUUUCUGCUUAUCAAAUAUCCCUUUCCUCCCAUUUAUGGGAAGGAUAAAGCAAAACUCAUGUCCCAGUCCUGAUCUCUUACUUCCCUACAGCCCAACUGCAGGCUCUCACACUGGCCUCUUGAGACUUGCGGCUGAUCCCGAGUCUUGUCAAGCAUAUGGUUGCAGUUCGCUAAUAUUGUUCCUACCCUUUCCAUCCUGUUGUCUCCCUGCAUCUCCAGAAAACACGCCCUGCUCUAUUUCCUGAUCCUGGGAUUGAGGGGCUACCACAGUCCUGACAACACUAACAUGAAAAAAGAGGGGUGGGAAUUAUAAGUGACCCCCUUGCCUUCAGGGACUUCUUUAUGCUUUUUUUUUGGUCAUUCUAUGACAGAAAACCUGAAAGUCAGAAAAGGUUUUCAUCCACUUGGCAUCCCAGUAAGAGACUGACUAUCUCCUACUCCUGGAGCCAGUUGGUCUCUUGUCCACUCUACUGUCUGACGAGGGGUUUCUGUUAAACCAGAACAGCAAGGAUAGGAUUGCCUUUCAACCGGUGGGUGUAUCAGUGCAACGGUGGAAGCCUUUUUAUAACGGCCUCGCGGUCUACCACUGCCUCAGAGAAAACAGAAGCAUUGCGGCAUGCCUUCACCAAUCAUAGCGGCACAAAGGCCCAGGCUUCCUAAAGGCUUUCAGUUUUCUUUAUGAGUUGAAUAUGGCCUCAUAUAGGACAGGGAGGGGAAGGAAAUCAGACUUUAGAAAGUAAUAGUAAGACUUUCCCUGCGGUUAGGAGCACGAUUACAGUAGGAGCUAGAAGCCGGUAUUUGAUACGGUACCUGGACACACCAAGUAACAAAUCACACAAACUAGCUUUGGCUCAAUUGUUUAGAUUGAUUGAAAAUGGCAUAUAGCAUAGGUGGCGGCAGCCUAGAAGUAAGGUUUUCCUGGAACAGAGCCAUGCCGCUCACUUACACGUAGUCUCUGGCUGCUUUUGUGCCCCAACGGCAGAACUGAGCAGCUAUGAGAUUUUGUAUGACCCACCAAGUCUAUAAUAUUUAUACAAAGAGCUUCAUCAGCCCUUGCUUUGAAUAACUAAUUGAUUUUCUUUUCCAGGAGCUGGCAGGGAAGGGAGGUGGACUGGUUUUGUGUCCUAGAAGUAGAGCCUGAUACCCCGGUUAGGGCAUGAGAAGUAGGGAAGAGUCGAGGCAGGGCUCCUGCGUGGCGUGCUGGAUCUGAGGGCAUGUAGCUCUGAAAAUAGACUCAGUGGCCUUCCAACCUGCAGUCCACUUUACUGUGUUAGAGUUUGGAGCCAAGACCUCAAGUCACAAUAGUUUAUUUGCUUUGCUACCUCUGGACAAACAUCUUCUCCAAGAUACUGUGGGAAGGUGAGUGACGGAUCCAAGGCAGAACCCGGUAUACCCAGAAUUGGGUUUUCCCGGGUUCCUAUCAGAAUGCUGCCUGGUAAUGCCUUCAUUGCAUCAGACGUUUGUCUGCAUUGCUGGAGAAAGCUAGUUGAGCGUGCUUGCUGCUAAGGGUUUAAAUUUCUCAUCUCUGAGUAGGCUUAUGGCACCAUCCAUCACAAGCUCAAGCCUGUAAUGUCCCAGCAAAACUGAAGGAGUUCCUUUCUGAUGCUGCCAAUCCCACCUCCCCUCCCAAAUUCUGAGUGAGAACGCCAGCCUUUUGUAGCAGCUCCACAGAGCUAGGGGGUUGGCUUGGAUGCUGAGAGAUACGGUGGACGGUUAGCUUGUUUUCACUAUAUUCUGCUUACUUGUAUUUUAUCUUUGUAGCUUACACUUUUAAAAUUUUUUACUAGGAAGUAGGAGUUUGUGAAUCUAAAACCAAGGAAAAUGUAUGCUUGAACUUUGCAGGGGUUUAUUCCAUACUCCCAAAUGUAGAUCUUCAAUUUGGCCUCCUUUGAGUCCUUGGACUCAAGUAAAAAGAAGUCAGCAUUAUUAUCAUGCUACGUGUUCUACAUGAGUGCUCCUUUAGUCCUUACAGAGACCAUGAGGUUAUUUAUUAUAAGGAAAUGGAAUCUUAGAGAUGCUAGCCUGCUCAAGUUACCCCACGUGGAGGUAAUGAUGCUAGGAUUUCAACCUAAGUAACCUAACGGUUUUUGUUCCUGCACUCCAUGCUGCAUGGGCCUUCUUAAUGUCAGUCCAUUAGGGAGGCCAAAGUUUCACAUUAAAAAUAGCUCCGUUUAGAAUCUGGAAGUUUCAAAGACCAGACAGUAGUAAAUCCAGCUUUAAGUCAGUUUACAGGCUUUGUGAAACAAUGUUUUUCCUUCCAUAGCCAUUUGGUCUUUAAGGAAAUGGAUACCUAGGCAUCUUUGUGAAAUAGAUUGGAAAACUUUCUAAGGAGUACCCUUUAAUGCAACCUCAACUUAACCUUGAAAAACAGUGUGACAGGUAAUUGUUGGUUUUUCUCCCCAACAGCCACCUCUCUUCUUCCUAACAAAAUCCCAACCUUGUUCAGGUUUGGGUGACAACUUGCUUAACGGAUCACUGGCUUGCCCUAAGAUGUGAAUGUUGGUUAGUCCAAAUCAUUCACGGGAUUCUGUUUUCCUUGCCAGGGAUUGGUUUAGGCACGGACACAUGAUACAACCUGGGACAAUAAUACAAAGAUGGCAGACCAUUGGGGUGCUUUUGUAAGGUUUUUCUAACUUUUGAAAUUAAAAAAAAAAGAAAAAGCACUAGUUGAAGCUCAUCCCUUCCUACAUUUGUACGUUGCAAAUGAGAUGUAGUAUUUGAGGCUAAGCAGUCCUCUUGUCACCAUGAGGGGAGAACCAAGUGAAUUACACAGAAUCCUUGGAAACGUUGCACUUUUGAAUCAAUCAGUGUUGGAAUAACCUAUUCUGUAUUUGUUAUGAUAAAGAAUUCAUUAUAUUAUGAUUUAAGACACCCGUAUGCAUUUUUACCAAAAUGGUCUGAUUACCCUGACCUUUUCCACAAGACUCUUUGGAAGAAGGUACAACAGAGAAAAGCAAGGCAAAGCUGACUAAGCAGAUGUCCCUUCCUUCAAAGCGAAGCUCAAUGCAGCCUUUUGUUAAGAAGUUCCUGAGUACAGGAAAAAAAGGCACUUAGGAGUGGAGUUAGUACUUGAGACUUUAAGAAGUCUUUACAAAGACAAGGGUUUCUGAUAUUCCUUAACCAAAAGGGGCUCAAAAAAACCCUGUGCCUUGCUAGAGCAAAGGAAGGUAUUUUCGAUCAUGGAGCACGGUGCCCUUUCAAGGAGGAAGUCCCAGGGUUCUAGAAGCUAGUCAACAAAUGUUUUCUAAAUAGCUGUGAACUCUUGGCCUAUGUAAGAAGAAAGAUCACCCAAAGGGGGCUUGAAAUUACAGAACUCACUCUUAGACAAUCCUGGUACUAAAACUUGCCAUCCCUACAUCUUUUUCACCCAUUCUUUAAGGCAGUUUGUUUUCUCCCUGCUUUCAAGAGGGCCAGGCUAGCUGACUCCCUAUAGUGCUUGUCUUUUUUCAGUAAAUACCCCUUAGAAGAAGUCUUAUUUUAAGUAAGGUUUGUCUUUAGCACGUGUAUAUACCACUCUCAGAAAGCCACUGGUGGUUUACUCUCUUGGAAUUUCGCACCACCUUUUAAAAUUUCCAAUAAGCAUGGGAAGUUUCCUUAUUUGCAGUGCUCCUUUCAAUUGCUGAUUUCUAUGAGCUUGAUAAGUCUUUAAUAGGAUUUCUGUUAUAUUUACUAUUUGUAUUACCUGCUUAUUGCUGUUGCAAAUUACCACAAACUUGGUGGCUUAAAACAAAGCAAAUUUAUUUCUAAUUUCUCUCUGAUCUCUGCUUCCCUCUGAUUAUAUUGGGCUCCCUAGGACAAUCUUCCCAUCUCAAAACCCUUAAUUGAAUCACAACUACAAAUCCUCUUUUGCUAUAUAAUGCUAACAUAUCCCUACGGGUCAUUAUUUAGGCUACCACUCUACUAUUUCUAGUAUUACUAACAUUUUGUUGUAUACCAUGAGCGAGUUACUGGGCUAACUCUUUACUUUUUUAAAUCUCAAUUAGUCCACAAGCCACAUACUAAGAUUGUCUUUCUCAGGUUUGUGACUAAGCCAUUGCUUUCUGGUAAGUGCAGUAAUUCCGUCACAAAAUUGAGUAACAAUGAUUCACAAAAUUUGCAUUCCCACUGCAAUCUAGCACUGACUUAUAUAUACCUACAAUUAUAAAAAUAAGAUUACAAACUUGUAUUUUUAGAAAAAUGUAAGUCAUGUGGGGUAGAAACUUGCAUUUAGAAAUAAGCUACAUUUAUGAGUGGUUGAAACUAAAGCUGUGGUUACUGGGUUGAGUUAGCUUAGAUCCAUGAGACCAAUGCUAAUUAGAUUUAUGGUUGCUACCCCUAAGUGGGACAUUUCAUUGCACUCAGCUUAGAAAUCAUGACUUAAAUUCUUGACAAAAAUACUGUGAAAUGCAGAUAUUCAAGGAGGGCCUUCAUCAGAGAACUGUGGGUUAAUGCCCCAAAUCCAUUACUGCUGCUCAAAAACUGAUUUAUAAACUGAUGAGCAUUGAAGAGUCCCUCAUUAUCAUGUAGUUGAGAAGCAUCUGUUUAGUGUACGCCUGCCGCUCACAUUUAUUAGAUGCAGUCCUUAUUGUACUGUGAAGCACUAUGAAGGGCAGCUGAUUUAUCUAAACAGAAAGACCUGCCAAAUGACAAUUUGGCACCUAAAACAUUGCUAGAUAUUAGACAGGUUAGAGACUUGAACACUAGUUUGAGCCCCUUAAUGGUGUGAUUUGAUUAGGGCUUUUUAAAGAUUGGAUAUAGUUAAGGAGAUAUAUACCAUUAUAAAACUUGAAUAUAGAAAUAGUUUAGCCCAGUGGCUUCCAGUCUGUUGGCUGUAAACUAGCAGCAUAUGGGAGUUAUUGUAAGGAGCCCAUUAAUCCAUUUGAGCACCAAAUGUUGUUUGUAGACUAGGUAUAUCCUACGUAUCAAAUGCAGAUAUGGUUGUGAUGAGUAACACAAAUUUUCAUUAAAAGACCACUGAGGGUGGUAGAAGGGGAGAAGGGCGGGGGGUGGGAGUGAAUGGGUGACGGGCACUGGGGGUUAUUCUGUAUGUUAGUAAAUUGAACACCAAUAAAAAAUAAAUUAAAAAAAAAAAAAAA
rnacentral:lncRNA from 1 species